UGCUUGCUUCAGCGGCAUAUUACUAAAAUGAGAAUGAUACAGAGAAGAUUAGCAUGACCACUGCACAAGGAUAACACACACAUUCGUGUAGCGUUCCACAUUUUU